rnacentral:rRNA from 1 species
UAGGGAAUCUUCCACAAUGGGCGCAAGCCUGAUGGAGCAACACCGCGUGAGUGAAGAAGGGUUUCGGCUCGUAAAGCUCUGUUGUUAAAGAAGAACAAGUAUGAGAGUAACUGUUCAUACGUUGACGGUAUUUAACCAGAAAGUCACGGCUAACUACGUGCCA